UACCCCGGGGAUAACAGGCUUAUCUCCCCCAAGAGUUCACAUCGACGGGGAGGUUUGGCACCUCGAUGUCGGCUCAUCGCAUCCUGGGGCUGUAGUCGGUCCCAAGGGUUGGGCUGUUCGCCCAUUAAAGCGGUACGCGAGCUGGGUUCAGAACGUCGUGAGACAGUUCGGUCCCUAUCCGUCGUGGGCGUAGGAAAUUUGAGAGGAGCUGUCCUUAGUACGAGAGGACCGGGAUGGACAUACCUCUGGUGUACCAGUUGUCGUGCCAACGGCAUAGCUGGGUAGCUAUGUGUGGACGGGAUAAGUGCUGAAAGCAUCUAAGCAUGAAGCCCCCCUCAAGAUGAGAUUUCCCAACUUCGGUUAUAAGAUCCCUCAAAGAUGAUGAGGUUAAUAGGUUCGAGGUGGAAGCAUGGUGACAUGUGGAGCUGACGAAUACUAA
rnacentral:rRNA from 1 species